GAGAGAGGAGUGAAUCAGCAAGGAGUGCUAAUCCUGGCCACCGGGGUUAAAUUCCCCGGCUCCCUCG
rnacentral:tRNA from 1 species